rnacentral:misc_RNA from 1 species
GGAGCUAUUAAGGUUGAUGAGUACUCACGCACCAACAUACCUAGCAUAUGGGCUGUUGGUGAUGUCACAAACCGAAUGAAUCUUACCCCUGUGGCCUUAAUGGAGGGAACAUGCUUUGCAAAAACUGUUUUUGGUGGGCAACCUUGCAAACCAGAUUAUAGGGAUGUACCAAGUGCUGUAUUUAGCAUACCACCUUUGUCUGUAGUAGGCCUCAGUGAAGAGCAGGCAAUA